GACCGAACAAGCGAGGUCAAUAAUCGGUUUAUUAUGUGGCUGAACUGAGUCUGUGAGCAUAUGCUUUUCGCGCGAAUUAAAUCGGCUAUCGUCAGUUUCACUGGGUAACAAUAUACGGUAGGCAUGCUUAUUGAUCAAAAACAAUUUGGUUGUUUGAAAUUUUCAUCUGUAAAGCACAAUUGGAAAUUAAAAAGCAAAAUUUUUUUCUGUUUGCAAAGCAAAAGCGACAUCCGUGACACCGGUCAAGAUACGGAAAAUACGGACCACGGCCGGAUAUGGGUUUUUACGGACCGCUUG